rnacentral:rRNA from 1 species
AUUGAACGCUGGCGGCAGGCCUAACACAUGCAAGUCGAGCGGAGCGGCGGCCGGGUGCGUAAUGCCUAGGAAUCUGCCUGGUAGUGGGGGAUAACGUCCGGAAACGGGAGCUAAUACCGCAUACUAUCAGAUUAGCCUAGGUCGGAUUAGCUAGUUGGUGGGGUAAAGGCCUACCAGGGCGACGAUCUGUAACUGGUCUGAGAGGAUGAUCAGUCACACUGGAACUGAGACACGGUCCAGACUCCGAAGGGAGGCAGCAGUGGGGAAUAUUGGGCAAUGGGCGAAAGCAUGAACGAGCCAUGCCGCGUGUGUGAAGAAGGUCUUCGGAUUGUAAAGCACUGUAGGUUGGGAGGCGGUACCAACAGAAUAAGCACCGGCUAACUUCGUGCCAGCAGCCGCGGUAAUAC